rnacentral:rRNA from 1 species
UGGCUCAGUAACACGUGGAGAAUCUAACCCUUGGUGGAGGAUAAUCUCGGGAAACUGAGAAUAAUACUCCAUAAACAUAGGAUGCUGGAAUGCUUCUAUGUUGAAAGGCAACGCCAAAGGAUGACUCUGCGACCUAUCAGGCUGUAGUGAGUGUAAUGGACUCACUAACCUGCAACGGGUACGGGUGUCGGAAGACAUUGCCCGGAGAUGGACUCUGAGACAUGAGUCCAGGUUCUACGGAACGCAGCAGGCGCGAAAACUCCGCAAUGUACGAAAGUACGACGGGGGAAUUCUGAGUGCUUACGCCUUGCGUAGGCUGUUUUCUUGUCUAAAAAACAAGGAGAGUAAGGGCUGGGUAAGACGGGUGCCAUCUCGUGCAAUUCUGCACUUAUUGUGUUCGUUGCACGAAGCACAAGCCGCCGCGGUAAUACCCGCGGCCCGAGUGGUGCUCAUUAUUAUUGAGCCUAAAACGUCCGUAGCCGGUUUAAUAAAUUCUUGGGUAAAUCAUAUCGCUUAACGAUAUGAAUUCUGAGAACACUGCUAAACUCGGGAAUGGGAGAGGCCAGAGGUACUUUCAGGGUAGGGGUAAAAUCCCGUAAUCCUGAGAGGACCACCGGUGGCGAAGGCGUCUGGCUAGAACAUAUUCGACGGUAAGGGACGAAGCCCUGGGGCGCAAACGGGAUUAGAUACCCCGGUAGUCCAGGGUGUAAACGCUGUAGAUUUGGUGUUGGAAAUCCUACGGGGAUUCCCAGUGCCGGAGAGAAGUUGUUAAAUCUACUGCUUGGGGAGUACGGUCGCAAGACUGAAACUUAAAGGAAUUGGCGGGGGAGCACCGCAACGGGUGGAGCGUGCGGGUUUAAUUGGAUUCAACGCCGAGAAACUCACCGGGGGCGACCAUUAUAUGAAGGCCAAGCCAAUGACUUUGCCUAAUUUUU